UACGUAGGGCGCGAGCGUUGUCCGGAAUUAUUGGGCGUAAAGAGCUCGUAGGCGGCCUGUUGCGUCCGCUGUGAAAUCCCGGGGCUUAACCCCGGGCGUGCAGUGGAUACGGGCUGGCUGGAGGCAGGCAGGGGAGAACGGAAUUCCCGGUGUAGCGGUGAAAUGCGCAGAUAUCAGGAAGAACACCCGUGGCGAAGGCGGCUCUCUGGGACGGUACUGACGCUGAGACGCGAAAGCGUGGGGAGCGAACAGG
rnacentral:rRNA from 1 species